AGUAACACGUCAAUAAUCUGCCCUUAGAUCUGGGAUAACCUUGGGAAACUGAGGCUAAGACCGGAUAGGAAAACAUUUCUGGAACGAAAGUUUUCCGAAAGGUAACGUCUAAGGAUGAGUUGGCGGCGGAUUAGGCUGUUGGCGAGGUAAAGGCUCACCAAACCGAAGAUCCGUAGGGGCUUUGAGAGAAGUAGCCUCGAGAAGGGCACUGAGAUACUGGCCCUAGCCCUACGGGGUGCAGCAGGCGCGAAAACUUUACAAUGCACGCAAGUGUGAUAAGGGAACUCAGAGUGCCUAUACAAUGUAUAGGCUUUUGCCAAGAGCAAAUAUCUUGGAGAAUAAGUGGUGGGAAAGACUGGUGCCAGCAGCCGCGGUAACCCCAGCGCCACAAGUGGGAAUCGCGUUUAUUGGGCCUAAAGCAUCCGUAGCUGGUUAUGUAAAUCUCUUGUGAAAUUGUUGGGCUUAACCUAACAGCGUGCAGGAGACACUGCAAAACUAGGGAUCGGGAGGGGCUAGGGGUAUGCUGAGGGGAGCGGUAAAAUGCUAUAAUCCUCGGUAGACCACCUGUGGCGAAGGCGCCUAGCCAGAACGAGUCCGACAGUGAGGGAUGAAAGCCAAGGGAGCAAACCGGAUUAGAUACCCGAGUAGUCUUGGCUGUAAACUCUGCGAGCUAGGUGUCGCAUAUUCUUCGAGAAUGUGCGGUGUCGUAGUGAAGAUGAUAAGCUCGCCGCCUGGGAAUUACGGUCGCAAGACUGAAACUUAAAGGAAUUGGCGGGGGAGCACUACAAGGGGUGCGGCGUGCGGUUUAAUCUGACUCUACUCAGAGCAUCUCACCAGAGGCGACGGCAGGAUGAAGGUCAGUCUGAAGGGCUUACCUAACGAGCCGAGAGGUAGUGCAUGGCCGGCGUCAGCUCGUGCCGUAGGGUGUCCUGUUAAGUCAAGCAACGAGCGAGACCUGUAUCUACAAUUGCUAACGACUCAUUUUGAGAAUCGAGCACAUUGUAGGGACUGCCUGGGAAACCAGGAGGAAGGUGCAGGCAACGCUAGGUCUGUAUGCUCCGAAUCUUCUGGGCUACACGCGCGCAACAAUGGUGCAAACAAUGGGAUGCGACACCGAAAGGUGAAGCUAAACCUCCAAAUUGCAUCCAAGUCCAGAUUGAGGGCUGUAACUCGCCCUCAUGACGUUGGAAUCCCUAGUAAUCGGUCCUCAUCACGGACCGGUGAAUAUGUCCCUGCUCCUUGCACACACCGCCCGUCAAACCACCCGAGUAGGGUCUAGAUGAGGCUUAAUUUGAAAUUAUGUCGAAUCUAGGCCUUGCGAGGAGGGUUAAGUCGUCACAAGGUA
rnacentral:rRNA from 1 species